CGGAGAGGCCGGGCCGGAGUUUUCGGUUUUCGGCGGGGGGAGCCGGAGGACGGCUGGCGGCGAGGGAGGAGGAAGAGGGAGCGGGAAAGAUCGCGGGAGAGCCCAAUCACGGGGCGAGCUGGACCGGGCUGUGAUCAUUUAUAAUCCUGGACUCCUCCGCUCCGCCACUUGUCAAGAUGACAGGCCGCGUCGGGUACGGGAAAGCUCCGAGGCUCCCAUGCUGUGACCAAUCAGUGCCUCUACUACUCUUGCCGUGAUUUAGGGGUCAUCCAUGAAUAACACUUCACGCUGAUGAAUGGCUCUUGCACGCUUUCGGCUCUGAUGAGGGUUCUGCCCGCCGCUGAUUGCAAACACUAAUGAACUCCCAGCGCCAUUUGAAAUUCACACGCACCUACAAAGUGCGGGGGGUGGGCAUUUCAGGUCAGCUGAGUCACCCGAGGAGGUAGGAGUGCAAGACACUGCCGGGAAGAUGGAUUCCGAGGCAGAAGGGUGUAAUUAAGGAUUUCCACUCCCGGUAGGCGGCCCGUCCUUUACAUGAGGAUCUGAAAAUGACCUGCGCCUUCCCCUCCAGAGUGUCCUCUCGUCCCAGACUGAAAAGCGCAAAUGACCUUCGCACGCGGGAAGGGGUUAUACACGAGCCCCAACUCGGCACCGGCGGCGGCGAACAAGUGUCCGCCUUGUGGUUCAAGCACCAAGACCGCCCCAACAAGCGCGCGCUGGCCGGUGGGGACGGAUUCUGGAGUCCUCCCAAGGCUCCACGCCCCGCAUUCUCCGACGCCGCCCCCCUCCCCAG